rnacentral:rRNA from 1 species
AAUAGAUACCCGGGUAGUCCACGCCGUAAACGAUGAGUGCUAAGUGUUGGGGGGUUUCCGCCCCUCAGUGCUGCAGCUAACGCAUUAAGCACUCCGCCUGGGGAGUACGGUCGCAAGACUGAAACUCAAAGGAAUUGACGGGGGCCCGCACAAGCGGUGGAGCAUGUGGUUUAAUUCGAAGCAACGCGAAGAACCUUACCAGGUCUUGACAUCCCGGUGACCACUAUGGAGACAUAGUUUCCCCUUCGGGGGCAACGGUGACAGGUGGUGCAUGGUUGUCGUCAGCUCGUGUCGUGAGAUGUUGGGUUAAGUCCCGCAACGAGCGCAACCCUUAUUCUUAGUUGCCAUCAUUCAGUUGGGCACUCUAAGGAGACUGCCGGUGAUAAACCGGAGGAAGGUGGGGAUGACGUCAAAUCAUCAUGCCCCCUAUGACCUGGGCUACACACGUGCUACAAUGGACGGUACAAACGGUUGCCAACCCGCGAGGGGGAGCUAAUCCGAUAAAACCGUUCUCAGUUCGGAUUGUAGGCUGCAACUCGCUACAUGAACG